CCGCCGGACACGCUGCGGUCGAUAUCCGCGAACGACAGGACCUCGUUCUGGCCGUCGUUCCAGCUUGCGCGCGCGAAAAUGCCGAUGUCGGUUGCGACCUGCUGUUCGGCGUUGACGUAGAAGCCGUACUUCGAUCGCUCCCGGCGCUCACCCGGCACGAUGUCAUUGAUGUCGAGCCCGGGGUUUGCCGCGCUGAUGCCCAGCACAUUGCGGUAGUUGGCGGUGUNNNNNNNGCGAACACGCCGACGCGCAGCUUGCCGGGCUGGUCGAGGAUCGUGUGGCGUUCCUCGACCU
rnacentral:misc_RNA from 1 species